UAGUGGCGGACGGGUGAGUAACAUGUGGGUAUCUGCCCUUUGGCCUGGAAUAACACGAGGAAACUUGUGCUAAUACCGGAUAAGUCUUUACGGAGAAAGCUUUAUGCACCAUUGGAUGAGCCCGCACUUGAUUAGUUUGUUGGUGGGGUAAUGGCCUACCAAGACUGUGAUCAAUAGCUGAUUUGAGAGGAUGAUCAGCCACAUUGGGACUGAGACACGGCCCAAACUCCUACGGGAGGCAGCAGUGGGGAAUCUUGCACAAUGGAGGAAACUCUGAUGCAGCGAUGCCGCGUGAGUGAAGAAGGCCCUUGGGUUGUAAAGCUCUUUCGUCGGGGAAGAAAAUGACUGUACCCGAAUAAGAAGGUCCGGCUAACUUCGUGCCAGCAGCCGCGGUAAUACGAAGGGACCUAGCGUAGUUCGGAAUUACUGGGCUUAAAGAGUUCGUAGGUGGUUGAAAAAGUUAGUGGUGAAAUCCCAGAGCUUAACUCUGGAACUGCCAUUAAAACUUUUCAGCUAGAGUAUGAUAGAGGAAAGCAGAAUUUCUAGUGUAGAGGUGAAAUUCGUAGAUAUUAGAAAGAAUACCAAUUGCGAAGGCAGCUUUCUGGAUCAUUACUGACACUGAGGAACGAAAGCAUGGGUAGCGAAGAGGAUUAGAUACCCUCGUAGUCCAUGCCGUAAACGAUGUGUGUUAGACGUUGGAAAUUUAUUUUCAGUGUCGCAGCGAAAGCGAUAAACACACCGCCUGGGGAGUACGACCGCAAGGUUAAAACUCAAAUGAAUUGACGGGGACCCGCACAAGUAGUGGAGCAUGUGGUUUAAUUCGAAGAUACGCGCAGAACCUUACCAACACUUGACAUGUUCGUCGCGACUCUAAGAGAUUAGAGUUUUCGGUUCGGCCGGACGAAACACAGGUGCUGCAUGGCUGUCGUCAGCUCGUGUCGUGAGAUGUUGGGUUAAGUCCCGCAACGAGCGCAACCCUCACUUUUAGUUGCCAUCAUUAAGUUGGGCACUCUGAAAGAACUGCCAGUGAUAAGCUGGAGGAAGGUGGGGAUGACGUCAAGUCCUCAUGGCCCUUACGUGUUGGGCUACACACGUGCUACAAUGGUAUCUACAACAGGAAGCAAGACUGCGAGGUCAAGCAAAUCCUUAAAAGAUACCUCAGUUCGGAUUGCACUCUGCAACUCGAGUGCAUGAAGCUGGAAUUACUAGUAAUCGUGGAUCAGCGUGCCACGGUGAAUGCGUUCCCGGGUCUUGUACAAAAGGGCCCGUCACACCAUGGGAGUUGGUUCUACCUUAAG
rnacentral:rRNA from 1 species